GAUGAACGCUAGCUACAGGCUUAACACAUGCAAGUCGAGGGGUAACGAGAGGAAAGCUUGCUUUCCUUGUUGACGACCGGCGCACGGGUGAGUAACGCGUAUCCAACCUGCCCCCAACUAGGGAAUAACCUUGCGAAAGUAAGACUAAUACCCUAUAAUUUCCUCAGAUGUCAUCUGACGAGGAAUAAAGAUUUAUCGGUUGUGGAUGGGGAUGAGUCUGAUUAGCUUGUUGGCGGGGUAACGGCCCACCAAGGCAACGAUCAGUAGGGGUUCUGAGAGGAAGGUCCCCCACAUUGGAACUGAGACACGGUCCAAACUCCUACGGGAGGCAGCAGUGAGGAAUAUUGGUCAAUGGGCGAAAGCCUGAACCAGCCAAGUAGCGUGCAGGAUGACGGCCCUAUGGGUUGUAAACUGCUUUUAUACAGGAAUAAAGUUAGCCACGUGUGGUUAUUUGUAGGUACUGUAUGAAUAAGGACCGGCUAAUUCCGUGCCAGCCGCCGCCGUAA
rnacentral:rRNA from 1 species